AUUGAACGCUGGCGGCAGGCCUAACACAUGCAAGUCGAACGGUAACGGGAAACAGCUUGCUGUUUCGCUGACGAGUGGCGGACGGGUGAGUAAUGUCUGGGAAGCUGCCUGAUGGAGGGGGAUAACUACUGGAAACGGUAGCUAAUACCGCAUAACGUCGCAAGACCAAAGAGGGGGACCUUCGGGCCUCUUGCCAUCGGAUGUGCCCAGAUGGGAUUAGCUAGUAGGUGGGGUAACGGCUCACCUAGGCGACGAUCCCUAGCUGGUCUGGGAGGAUGACCAGCCACACUGGAACUGAGACACGGUCCAGACUCCUACGGGAGGCAGCAGUGGGGAAUAUUGCACAAUGGGCGCAAGCCAGAUGCGGCCAUGCCGCGUGUAUGAAGAAGGCCUUCGGGUUGUAAAGUACUUUCAGCGGGGAGGAAGGGAGUAAAGUUAAUACCUUUGCUCAUUGACGUUACCCGCAGAAGAAGCACCGGCUAACUCCGUGCCAGCCGCCGCGGUAACAC
rnacentral:rRNA from 1 species